rnacentral:misc_RNA from 1 species
GAUGAAGAACGCAGCGAAAUGCGAUACUUGGUGUGAAUUGCAGAAUCCCGUGAACCAUCGAGUCUUUGAACGCAAGUUGCGCCCGAAGCCAUUAGGCCGAGGGCACGCCUGCCUGGGUGUCACACACCGUUACCCUCGCGCCAACGUCCAUCGUUGGCCGCGGCGCGGGGCGUGUGCUGACCUCCCGCGAGCGGGGUCUCGUGGUUGGUUGAAAAUCGAGUUCGCGGUCGAGGGUGCCGUGAUGAAAUGGUGGAUGGGCGACGCCCGAGGCCAAUCACGCGCGACUCUGUCCGGCUUGGACUCCUAGACCCCUUCGGCGUCUCCGGACGCUCUUUGGCGAGACCUCAGGUCAGGCGGGGCUACCCGCUGAGUUUAAGCAUAUCAAUAAGCGGAGGA